UACGGAGGGUGCAAGUGUUAUUCGGAAUCACUGGGCGUAAAGAGCACGUAGGCGGAUGGGUAAGUCAGAUGUGAAAUCCCGGGGCUCAACUUCGGAACUGCAUUUGAUACUGCCCGUCUUGAGUGUGGUAGAGGGGGAUGGAAUUCCCGGUGUAGAGGUGAAAUUCGUAGAUAUCGGGAGGAACACCAGAGGCGAAGGCGAUCCCCUGGGCCAUUACUGACGCUGAGGUGCGAAAGCGUGGGGAGCAAACGGG
rnacentral:rRNA from 1 species